GACGAACGCUGGCGGCGUGCUUAACACAUGCCAGUCGAACGGAAAGGCCCUGCUUGCAGGGUGCUCGAGUGGCGAACGGGUGAGUAACACGUGGGUGAUCUGCCCCUUACUUUGGGAUAAGCCUGGGAAACUGGGUCUAAUACUGGAUAGGACCAUGCUGUAGGUGGUGUGGUGGAAAGAUUAGUUUCGGUAAGGGAUGAGCUCGCGGCCUAUCAGCUUGUUGGUGGGGUAAUGGCCUACCAAGGCGUCGACGGGUAGCCGGCCUGAGAGGGUGGACGGCCACAUUGGGACUGAGAUACGGCCCAGACUCCUACGGGAGGCAGCAGAGGGGAAUAUUGCACAAUGGGCGCAAGCCUGAUGCAGCGACGCCGCGUGGGGGAUGACGGCCUUCGGGUUGUAAACUCCUUUCAGCCAUGACGAAGCCCUUGUGGUGACGGUAGUGGUAGAAGAAGCACCGGCUAACUACGUG
rnacentral:rRNA from 1 species